AAAUGCUUUAAAUAGAUUAGGUAGUUUUAUAAACCUUUUACUUCUUGCCAGAUUCUACAUAAUGCAAAUGGGCAUGCCUAUUGGAUUUUCAUCACCUUAUUUUUUUUUCUUCCCAGCAUGUGUGAACUGUGUGCGGUGGUCAAACAGUGGGAUGUAUUUAGCUUCUGGGGGAGAUGACAAACUGAUUAUGGUGUGGAAGCGGGCUACGUAAGCAUCAUUUUCCUUUUUCACAUUUAAUUUUUAGAAGCUUCUUUGCUGGUCUUUAUCAAAGUCACCUUUCCCACCCUGGCAUAGAAGUCCUAACUUCAUAAGUAGCAAGAAGUUGCCAUAGGUCAGAAGUGGAUGAAGCCUGACAAGUGACUCGGAGGCUUCCAUUCUGCCUGCUGACCAGGCCAGCUAUCCUCUUGUAGGAACACAGUACUUAGCUGAGAAGGAAGGGUUAAUCCUUACAGCCACUGACAUUGUGGCUUCCUUUGUUUGUUAUUCAAAUAAAAUUUCACAUGAAACCCUUACAUACAAAAUGACUAAGAUCUGAAUCAGGGCUGGGAAUCCGGAGCCCACCUUCCUUGCCUCAUUUUGUGGCAGCCUUGCCUUGCAGUAAACUAAGGGUCAACUGUGGACAUUUUUUUCUUUAUCCUUGAGCGUAAUGGGUCCUGAUACUGUGUACCAUAAUAAGCUUUCCAUGUGGCUCUCGGUCACACUGUGUCCCAGACCUGGCAUCAUUGUUUAGCCAGAGUAACUGGAGGCAUAGCUUUGAGAGCUGAGUGAUGCCAUCUUCUGUGCUCACUUGGCUGCCUCAGGAGCUCUCUGGGUAAGUGUAUAGCUUUACAAGAGCAAAGGGUGUUUGUAGAGGCUCUGGACAUGGUGCCAUCUUCCAUGUAAUUCUACCUGGAAGGAGUCAGUCCUGUGACUCUUGUAUUUUUCUUCCUUAUUUUUUAAAGCAGGAAUAUUGAAUCCAUUAUAAAGGGGCUUAAAUUAUUGUUUUUUUUUUUUUUUUUUUGAGUUAGGCAUAGUGGCUCCUACCUGUGGACCCAGCUACUCAGGAGGGACUGGCUUGAACCCAGGAGUUUGAGAUUAUUCUGGGCAAUAUAGUGAGUGAGACCCUGCCUUCAAAUAAAAAUGUAGUUAAUAUUCUUCUUCUUCUUCUUUUUUUAAUUAAAAAAAGACAGGGGUCUCAUGUAGCCCAGACCCUUGGAUGACCUUGAACUUCUGAUCCGUCUGUCCCUACAUCCUGAGUGCUGAGAUUACCAGUGUGCAUCACAUGCCUGGGUGCUUAUAUUUACUUAUUUAUUUAUUUAUUUAUUUAUUUAUGAUACCCUACUUUAAAUAACCAACACAAAUACUAUGUUUAGUAUGCACUUUAGAAAUGUAAAAAUAGCUCAUAGUCCUACAACCUAAAGAAAGCCAUGGUUAAGCUUUUGUUUUUUCUGGUGUGUAUUUCUUUGCUCUAUUCCAUGUGUAGAGUGUCUGUGCUACAUGUAGUUUUUAAGUCAUGUAAAUGGUAUCAUACUGUAUGUAGAUGGUGGCCCGUGGUCUGCUUUUCUCUCACUUUGUCUUGAAAAUUUUCCUGUUGAAGAUUUGUAGUGGCUGAGGAUUAUUUCACAAGUGCAUGGAUUGAUCCUAAGUUACCACUUCUGCCACAUCUUUUGUUUAACUGGUGCUUUUAGCUGCUAUCUGGUUUUGCCUUUUCUGUUUGCUAUGAUAAGCUGUGCCACAGGGAGCACCUUUAAACAGUAUCUAGAACACUCCUUGAGUGCAUAUCUCAUGCCUCUUUCACACAGGUACAUUGGGCCCAGCACUGUGUUUGGUUCCAGUGGUAAGCUUGCCAAUGUGGAGCAAUGGCGGUGUGUCUCCAUCCUCCGGAGUCACUCAGGCGGUAAGUAGGCUCCUUUGUUUGGGUGAGUGGAUCCCUUUUUUUUUUUUUUUUUUUCGAGACAGGGUUUCUCUGUGUAGCCCUGGCUGUCCUGGAACUCACUUUGUAGACCAGGCUGGCCUCGAAUUCAGAAAUCCGCCUGCCUCUGCCUCCUGAGUGCUGGGAUUAAAGGCGUGCACCACCGCGCCCGGCGUGGAUCCCUUUUGAUUGCCUUAGAUAACAAUUAACACCCCUAUGUACUGUUUGGUCCUUAAAGUACUACCUGGGAUUUCCCUAUCAUCGCUUGUCCUUGCUUAAGGUUUAUGUAGUCACUGGCUCCUUCACCUGCCUUCACUUGCAUUCAAUUACCAACACAUACUGUUAAAACAUGUAAAUGUAUGUGUUUAGCAUGGAGCUCCCAGCCUUUCAUUGCUUAUUCUGCAGGAGUACUUUCAUUCUUAGAUCAUAAACACAUUCGAUCUACUCCUGAGAUACAAGCCUGUAGGUACUUACUAGAAAAUUUCUUUCUUUCUUUUUUUUCUUUUUCAUUCAUUCAUUCUUUUUACAUACAUACAUAUAUACCAUACAUAAAUUAAUUUGUGUGUAUGAGCAUGUCUACUACAUGAACAUGUAGAGGUGAGAUGACACUUGCCUGAGUCAGUUCCCUUGCUCUACCAUGUGGGUUCUGAGGAUCAAAGUUAGUUUGCCAGGCUUAGUAGCAAGCCACUGAGCCAUCUCACCGGUCCUAUUGGAAACUCUCUUAACUUGACCUUGACUAUGUUUAUAAAGUGGUUCAAAUAGGCUUAGUUUGCAAAGAGUCUCAUUUUACAGAUUUAAGCCAGGAGGAAGAUGACUGGCCUGUAUAAAGCCGAUGCCCUUGGUUUCUAAUAAAGCCCAAGUACUUUAGUUACCAAAUACCAUGAUCUACAUGUAUACAGUUCAGACUUUGGAGAAGGCUGUGAUGCUGCAAGGAAGAAACUCCUUAAAAAAACAAAACAAAAUAAAACAAGAAUAUACAAAUAUCCGUUAGGAUUGAGCCUGGAACUCUAGGAGAAUACAAGGUCAUAGGGAUAGAUUUCAAUUCACUAGUAGUAUAUACUCAACAGAUUCUUUUAACUUUAAGUGAAUAAACUAAUUUCUUAAAAAUAUUUUUGGAGAUUAUAUUGUUGUGUGAGUGAAUGUCUUUGGGUAUAUAUCUGUGUACUACAUGUAUGUGGUGCCUGUGGAGGUCAGAAGAGGAAUGUUGGAUCUUUUUGAACUGGUGUCUAAGGUGAUUGCUAGCCACAAUAUAGGUGCUGGAAAUUGAACUGGAGUUCUUUGGAAUUGCAGCCUGUGUUUUUAACUGCUGACCCAUCUCUUCAGCCUGCCUUGCCCCCUCUCUAAAAGAUACUUCAUUAUAAAUUAUGUGUUCAGGCUGGGAAGGUGGUACAUGCUUUUAAUCUUAGUACUCAUGAAGUAGAGGCAGGCAGAUCUCUCAGCCAGCUUGGUCCACAUAAUGAAUUCCAGGCCAGCCAAGGCUAAACAGUGAGACCCUGUACCCCAAAACAAAAGAAAAACAAACAAGCAACACCUAAUCAACCAAUCAAAUAAACAAACAAACAAACAAACAGCAACAAAAAAGCCC
rnacentral:lncRNA from 1 species